GAAGAACGCUGGCGGCGUGCCUAAUACAUGCCAGUCGAACGCUUCUUUCCUCCCGAGUGCUUGCACUCAAUUGGAAAGAGGAGUGGCGGACGGGUGAGUAACACGUGGGUAACCUACCCAUCAGAGGGGGAUAACACUUGGAAACAGGUGCUAAUACCGCAUAACAGUUUAUGCCGCAUGGCAUAAGAGUGAAAGGCGCUUUCGGGUGUCGCUGAUGGAUGGACCCGCGGUGCAUUAGCUAGUUGGUGAGGUAACGGCUCACCAAGGCCACGAUGCAUAGCCGACCUGAGAGGGUGAUCGGCCACACUGGGACUGAGACACGGCCCAGACUCCUACGGGAGGUAGCAGUAGGGAAUCUUCGGCAAUGGACGAAAGUCUGACCGAGCAACGCCGCGUGAGUGAAGAAGGUUUUCGGAUCGUAAAACUCUGUUGUUAGAGAAGAACAAGGACGUUAGUAACUGAACGUCCCCUGACGGUAUCUAACCAGAAAGCCACGGCUAACUACGUG
rnacentral:rRNA from 1 species